rnacentral:tRNA from 1 species
GUUCCGGUAGCUUAAAUGGUAGAGCGUAUGACUGAAAAUCAUAGUGAGGAGGUUCAAUUCCUCCCCAGGACA